AAAGUUGAAGGUGAUCAAUUCUGUAAGAUUCUUCUUUUUCCCCUUUACUUUCUUGUUUUCCUUCUUCACUACCUCCCAAUUAUUACAUUGACUCUCAGAAUUUUAGCCCCUUAUAUAUUAACUCAACUGUGAUUUGGUUGAACAUGGGAAUUGAAGUUCGAUAUGCAAGUUUUUUGGAGACUAAAAGACUGCUAUGGAUAGUGGCAUCAAUUUUUGUUAUGGUUUUGAUCAUUCAGUAUUUUCUAUUUCCCUCCAAAGGUCAAGUAGCCGCCAUUCAAUCUGCUUAUUCUACUGUAUCCGCAAACCUCACCUUUUCCAAGACUACUGCCAAAACUGAGCUGUCAAAGACAAAUGAUGCUACCAUUAUUGAACAUACUGAAAUUGAAGACAAAUUUCCACAGAAGGUUGCUCAUGCUUCUGAAUUCGUUAUGCAAACACCUAAUGUUACAUCUGAAAAUAAUUUUGUACUAGAUCGUAUAACCACAACUGCUGCACCUCAGGCAAUCUCUCCUUUAACAUCUUCCAGACAAAACCAAUCUUGCCUCAGAAAUAUUCCCUCUGUAAUUGAAAGGUCUGACAGAGCACGAAAAAAUGUGGCAUCAAUAUCUCAAAUGAAUUAUAUGCUGCAACAAAGUCAAACUUCAUUUUGUUCAAUGAAACCACGAUGGUCCUCGGUAGUAGAUCAAGAACUAUUACGUGCAAAAGAUCUGAUCGAGAAUACGCCUCUCUUACAGAGCGAGCCUCGAUUAUAUGCCCCUCUAUUUAGAAAUCUGUCCAUGUUUAAAAGGAGUUAUGAAUUGAUGGAGAAGACUCUCAAGGUUUACAUUUAUGCUGAAGGGGAAACACCCAUAUGCCAUUCCGGACCUCUCGAUGGAAUAUAUGCUUCAGAGGGCUGGUUCAUAAAGCUGCUUCAAGAAAACAAAAGAUUUGUCACUAAGAACCCUAAAAAGGCUCACCUAUUUUAUUUGCCGAUAAGUUUCCGAUCACUGAAGUUGACAUUGUACGUGCCUGAUUCUCACAACCGUACAAAUAUAAUUCAAUUUUUAAGUAACUAUGUUGAUAUGAUUGCGCAAAAGUAUCGUUUCUGGAAUAGAACAGAUGGAGCUGACCAUUUUAUUGUUGCCUGUCAUGACUGGGCCCCUGCGGUGACGGAUGAAAUUAUGAGUAAUUGCAUAAGAUCUUUAUGCAAUGCUGACCUGAGAGGUGGCUUCCAGCUUGGUAAAGAUGUGUCUCUACCACAACCGAACAUUCGCUUGAGCACGAACCCUCUUGCUGAACUUGGAGGGAAACCAGCAUCCAAACGGCGUACCCUUGCUUUCUUUGCUGGACAUAUGCAUGGUUAUCUCCGCCCUGUACUACUGAAGCACUGGGAAAACAGAGAUCCUGACAUGAAGAUUUAUGGUGGAAUAACCAAGGCAAGCUAUUUACGGUACAUGAAGAGUAGCAAAUACUGCAUAUGUGCAAGAGGUUCUCAAGUCAACUCUCCUAGAGUGGUAGAAGCUAUUUACUAUGGAUGUAUCCCGGUGAUCUUAUCAGAUAACUAUGUGCCCCCGCUCUUUGAGACUCUAAACUGGGAAUCUUUUGCUGUAUUUGUCCAGGAGAAGGACAUCCCAAAUUUGAAAAACAUACUUCUGUCUAUUCCGGAUAAGAAAUAUAAGCAGAUGCACGGGAGAGUUAAGCAGGUGCAACAGUAUUUUCUCUGGAAUAUUAAGCCUUCUAAAUAUGAUGUGUUUCACAUGAUACUCCAUUCAGUUUGGCACAACCGAGUUUUUGGAGUAAGACCUAGGUGAUAAAUUUACAUAUACACUAGAGCUUGUAGACUUGAAGAUGAAACAAUAUAUUUUUCAUUUUUGCUUCACUUUUAGCUUGUGUGGUGUAUAAACAGCAGGUUGAUGUUCUUACAAGAUGUCUGAAGAGUUCGGUGGCUUUUAAUACGUCAGUUUUUCUCCAUGUGACUAUUGCAGCCUGGUUGAAUUGAUCUGUUUAUGUUAGUAAGCGACGGGAUGAACCUCAUGAGCUAGUGAGACUUUGAUAACAUCCUUGUCCCAUAUACCUAUAUCGAAGAGAGAGAAUAACGAGUAAGGAAACAAAAGUGUGGCAUUCAAUGUUACUGUUUGGUGUUGUGAAAAUGAAAAGGUCAGUUACAACUGAUAAUCAGAAGUACCUUUCAAGUGAACACUGCAAGUUGGGAACAUGUGGCGCACAUGACUGGGGAUGCAGAUGAGGGUGGGUCGAGAAGGACUGACAGGGUUCUAAGUUGGAAAACUUCUUAACAAUGGGUGCAUUUGAUACUUGAGCAAAUGCCACAUCAGGAAGGAGAGCAAAGUGAAGCGCUAUGUAGUAUAGAUCACAAAUUCACAUUAUAUGCGUGUUUUUGGGCUGAGCCUGAAUAGGAAGAAUAAGAAUAGGACAUCAUAGACUGCACCUCUCAUUUCCUGCUAGUUUAAGUUACACUUAGUUGUGUGAGGAAUGCAGAAAGUCCCCAAAACAAUGAAAAUUUUGUUUGAUUGUUUUGCACAAUUACGAGAAGAAGAGGCCUAACGUGAUAUGAAGAACAGCCUGUCAAGAUAGCCAGGAUAACUGCCUAGCAUAGCAACCCCACAAGGAAAAUUAAGAAAUAAUAACCUUGUGGGAGGAGGGGUAUGUAGGCAAGUCAUCCUUGGCUAACAAACAAAGACUCUUCACUUCAGGAAAGGCGCAGACAAGGCAAUAGCGAAAGAAAACUCAAAGUCCAAGAGAAGACAAAGACCCAAAUUGGACUUUUAUUAAUCCAUAUAGAAAAGGAAAAAGACCCGAACCCAACAAUCUUGGCAACUGAUAUGAACCAGUAAGCUGUAGAAUGACAGAUAUUCAAGUCCAUCAAUCCAUGACACUGGCCUCCUGAUAUUUGCAAAGAUGCAAAUGAACUAGGUAGUUCUGUUUCAUGGUUUAAUAGUUGCACAUGAACCAAAAUUUAAUGUUAUAUAGAUUAAUUUCAUAUGA